rnacentral:rRNA from 1 species
UACUUUUAAAUAAGGAAGAGUUUGUGGUGGAUGCCUUGGGUCUGGAAGUCGAUGAAGGACGUGAUUACCUGCGAUAAGCCUCGUAGAGCUGGAAAUAUGCUAUGAAACGGGGAUUUCCGAAUGGGGAAACCUAACUAUGGUAAUGCAUAGUUGCUUAUGUCUGAAUACAUAGGACAUAAAGCGAGAUACCUUGUGAACUGAAACAUCUUAGUAGCAAGAGGAAAAGAAAAUAAAUAAUGAUUUCUUUAGUAGCGGCGAGCGAACGAGAAAGAGCCCAAACCAUUUUAAAUGGGGUCAUAGGACAGACUACAUAGAGUUACAAAAUUUAAUAAUAGCAGAAGCUUUUGGGAAGAAGCGGCACAGAAGGUGAUACCCCUGUAUGCGAAAUUAUUAAAUCUCUUGACUGUAUCCUGAGUAGGGCGGGGCACGUGAAACCCUGUCUGAAUUUGCCGGGACCACCCGGUAAGGCUAAAUACUAACCAGACACCGAUAGCGAACUAGUACCGUGAGGGAAAGGUGAAAAGAACCCCGAGAGGGGAGUGAAAUAGACUCUGAAACCACUUACUUACAAUUAGUCAGAGCCCGUUAAUGGGUGAUGGCGUACAUCUUGCAGUAUGGACCGGCGAGUUACUUUAGCAUGCAAGGUUAAGCAGAUAAAAGCGGAGCCGUAGAGAAAUCGAGUCUUAAUAGGGCGAUUAGUAUGCUUGAGUACACCCGAAACCAGGUGACCUAUUCAUGAGCAGACUGAAACUUAGCUAACCCUAAGUGGAGGGUCGAACCGUAGUACACUAAAACGUGCCCGGAUGACUUGUGAAUAGCGGAGAAAUUCCAAUCGAACUUGGAGAUAGCUGGUUCUCCUCGAAAUAGCUUUAGGGCUAGCGUGUAGUGUUAAAUAAUGGUGGUAAAGCACUGAAUAUGGAAUGGCCUCGCCUAGGGGUACUGACUAUAAUCAAACUCUGAAUACCGUUAUGAAUUGCUAUGCAGUCGGAACCGGGGUGCUAACGUCCCGGCUCGCGAGGGAAACAACCCAGAUCGUCAGCUAAGGUCCCAAAAUCGUGUUAAGUCAGAAAGGUUGUGAGGUUUCAUAAACAACUAGGAAGUUGGCUUAGAAGCAGCCAUCUUUUAAAGAGUGCGUAAUAGCUCACUAGUCAAGAGACCUUGCGCCGACAAUGUAACGGGAGUAAAACACGAUACCGAAGCUACGGGUACAUUUAUGUACGUUAGAGGAGCGUUCUUAGGGCAAUGAAGCUAGACUGUAAAGACUAGUGGAGCGCUAAGAAG